UUGCGGCUAUAUCACGUUGAAUCACUAGUUCCUGUACAAUCACCGAAGUUAAACAAUGUCGAGCCUGGUCAGUAUCUAGAUGGGUAACCGCUUGGGGAUACUUGGUUCUGUAAG